CCAACUCUCUACAUGGUUUAUUCACCUUAUUCUUCAGACAUUAUGUGAUUAGACUUGUGGAGGCAGUUCAAGGGCUGAUUUAUCUACAAACCCUUAAGACCAAGGCUACUUCUGUCACAGGUCAGUCAGGAGAUCCUAGAGCUAUUAAAUACCACAACAGCCAAGGAACAGUCCAUUGUUGAAAAGUUCCGCUCUCGAGGUCGGGCCCAGGUGCAAGAAUUUUGUGACUAUGGGACCAAGGAAGAGUGCAUGAAAGCCAGUGACGCUGAUCGGCCUUGUCGCAAGCUGCACUUCAGGUCUCUUGGGAGGGAACGAGGUGGGGAGGGUUUUCCAGAAGCAGUAACUCCUUUGCAGCACAUUCUUCCUGCCUUUGGAAUGGCUACUGUAUGAGAAGGAAUACAGGCUCACUUGCAAAAAGGAAAACUUUCUAGUCGAGCAUCUGGGUCUCUGAGUAACGAUGAAAGCUAAAGUCUGGAAGGAAGACGGAUUAUCAACAAGCACACUGAUGAGUCUUUAGGUGAUUGCUCUUUCCUGAACACCUGCUUCCACAUGGACACCUGCAAGUAUGUCCACUAUGAAAUUGACGCCUGUGUGGAUUCUGAGAGUCCUGGCAGCAAGGAGCACAUGCCGAGCCAGGAGCUUGCUCUUACACAGAGCGUUGGGGGCGACUCCAGUGCAGACCGACUCUUUCCACCCCAGGCAGGUAAUAUAAUCCAGAUAUGUAGGUA
rnacentral:lncRNA from 1 species